rnacentral:rRNA from 1 species
UACAGAGGGUGCAAGCGUUGUUCGGAAUUAUUGGGCGUAAAGGGCGCGUAGGCGGUGCGGUAAGUCUGUAGUGAAAUCUCUGGGCUCAACUCAGAGUCUGCUAUAGAAACUGCCGUGCUUGAGUGUGGGAGAGGUGAGUGGAAUUCCCGGUGUAGCGGUGAAAUGCGUAGAUAUCAGGAGGAACGCCAAUGGCGAAGGCAAGUCUCUGGACAGUUCCUGACGCUCAUGCACGAAGGCCAGGGGAGCAAACGGG